CUGCACUCGUAAAUGAAACAUUACCGCCAAUAGAACUGUGAUGUCAUUUUUGACAAAUCCAUCAGAGUAACUUGAUCUUAUGCUAUCAUCAUGGCUGCCAGUGCCUGCAGGAAUAAUUACAGACAUCCUCCUGUUAAUGCUCAAACUCGGUGACAUGGCUGUCUCCUAUAUUAUUUGUAAAGAUGAAUAGAACCAUGCAGUUUAUCGGCUCAAGUUAAGAAACAUCUAAGCAGCAUUUUGCGAAAACCGGCUUUUGAAAUUAUCAACGAGGUCAGAACUAGAGAACUAAACUGGAAGUGAACUAAAGAUAGUGACCAAACGCAUUUAUUGUGAUUCGUUCUUCAUCUGAUUGGGAAAGAGGAUGAAUAUAGGAGUAAAGAAAACAAAUAAAGAAG